rnacentral:rRNA from 1 species
UACGAAGGGGGCUAGCGUUGUUCGGAAUUACUGGGCGUAAAGCGCACGUAGGCGGACAUUUAAGUCAGGGGUGAAAUCCUGGAGCUCAACUCAAGAAAUGCACUCGGUACUGGGUGACUAGAGGACCGGAGAGGAUAGUGGAAUUCCCGGUGUAGCGGUGAAAUGCGUAGAUAUCGGGAGGAACAUCAGUGGCGAAGGCGACCGCCUGGCCCAACACUGACGCUGAGGUGCGAAAGCGUGGGUAGCAAACAGG